CAGCAGCAGCCGCGGUAAUACAGAGGGUGCGAGCGUUAAUCGGAUUUACUGGGCGUAAAGCGUGCGUAGGCGGCUUUUUAAGUCGGAUGUGAAAUCCCUGAGCUUAACUUAGGAAUUGCAUUCGAUACUGGGAAGCUAGAGUAUGGGAGAGGAUGGUAGAAUUCCAGGUGUAGCGGUGAAAUGCGUAGAGAUCUGGAGGAAUACCGAUGGCGAAGGCAGCCAUCUGGCCUAAUACUGACGCUGAGGUACGAAAGCAUGGGGAGCAAACAGGAUUAGAUACCCGUGUAGUCCCUGUCUCUUAUAC
rnacentral:rRNA from 1 species